GUGGGGAAUAUUGGACAAUGGGCGAAAGCCUGAUCCAGCCAUGCCGCGUGUGUGAAGAAGGUCUUCGGAUUGUAAAGCACUUUAAGUUGGGAGGAAGGGCAGUAAGUUAAUACCUUGCUGUUUUGACGUUACCAACAGAAUAAGCACCGGCUAACUUCGUGCCAGCAGCCGCGGUAAUACGAAGGGUGCAAGCGUGAAUCGGAAUUACUGGGCGUAAAGCGCGCGUAGGUGGUUUUGUAAGUUGGAGGUGAAAUCCCCGGGCUCGACCUGGGAACUGCCUCCACAACUGCAUGACUAGAGUACGGUAGAGGGUAGUGGAAUUUCCUGUGUAGCGGUGAAAUGCGUAGAUAUAGGAAGGAACACCAGUGGCGAAGGCGACUACCUGGACUGAUACUGACACUGAGGUGCGAAAGCGUAGGGAGCAAACAGGAUUAGAAACCCGUGUAGUCC
rnacentral:rRNA from 1 species